ensembl:miRNA
UCUGACCUCUUGCUCUCAGUAACAAGGAUUCAUCCUGUUGUGGAACACAAAUCCAACAGGGAAUCUCUGUUACUGGGGUCAAGGUUCAG